rnacentral:siRNA from 1 species
GAGUGGCUCCACUUUAGUGGACU